GAGUCAAGUGGUUUGCUCCAGAAUGUCGCACCUACCCGUCGGCGGGACGCACCAAGGAAUUCUGGGAGCGCUUCCGUGCGAUGUUUCACUUUCUUCUGCUUUUCCCGAGUAGAACUUGUCAAGUCAGCACAUUAAGCGUCUGUCUCUCAACAUCUGUCCUCGCAGGGAAGCCAAUGGGACGGCACGGCGGCGACGCCACCGGCCAAUCGGAGCACGGGCGAUGGGGAGCAGGUCCGGGCGGAUCCCGGCAUGUCAAAGACGAGGAGAAGGGUGUGCGUGUGAAAAUCUAGCUGUCAACGUGUCACAGCCCAGGAAAGAAGCCACGACAUUUUAGCGAGACUCUGGAUAAAGGUGCGUGUCAUCGUAAAGCAAUGGAAGCGUCCACCCCCCUCUGUAAUCAUCAUGGUACCACCCGCUGCGUGUCAACCUCCGUGAACGAGCAAGACGUCUGUGAAGCCGGUUCGGGGUGCCCCCCCCCCCCCCGCCUCCUGCCCGAUGACAGCUGGGAUAGGCUCCGGCACGCCCGCGACCCUCGUGAGGAGAAGCGGCUCAGAAAAGGAAUGAAUGGCUGGAUGGAUGUGAUCUACGUCACGAGCGAAGAUCUCCGCCUUGCCUUUCGGCUCCCGAGCCAUCGCUGUCAACGUAACAAAGGAAGUGCAGAGACGGCGCAAAUGAACACCCACCGUGGAACUGAGGGCCAACGGCACAGUGUGAUAAUGAAGUCGCCGACGAGAGACGAGCGUCCACGCCGAAGAACCGUCUAAAGGACCUCAGCAACUCACAGGAUGGAGUUGUGGCGCCAGUGUGCAAAAUGGCUGAUCGAGUGCCGGGUCCUGCCGGAGACGCACCGCGUCACGUGGGAGGGUGCGCAGGUGUGCGACCUGGCGCAGGCCCUAAGAGAUGGCGUGCUGCUAUGCCAGCUGCUCAACAACCUGCUGCCUCAGGCCGUCAACCUGAGAGAGAUCAACCUGCGCCCACAGAUGUCCCAGUUCCUGUGCCUCAAGAACAUCCGGACCUUCCUGGUAGUGUGUCAGGACAAGUUCCAGCUGAAGAAGAACGAACUGUUUGAAGCCUUCGACCUGUUCGACGUGCGCGAUUUUGCCAAGGUGCUAAACACUUUGUCCAUCCUGUCUCACUCACCCAUUGCCGCACAAAGAGCAUUUCAGCCUUUCCCUUUGGGAGGAGACAUUUCUGAUGAUGACAUCUACAACGGCCUGUCCGACAAGAUAGACGACACGGUAGAUGAAGCAGACGAUUUGUACGACUGUGUGGACGAGGAGGGGGCCGAAGGGGAUGAAAUCUAUGAAGACUUGAUGAGGACAGUUGAACCCGAAACUAAGUGCGGAGUGGACAAGCGAGAGUGCUGCCUUCAGGAGAUCAAACAGACGGAAGGAAAAUACUCGGCUACUCUGGAAUCUAUUUUACAGCACUUCAAGAAACCUCUGGGAAAGUUCCUCGAGGCUCAGGACAUGGAGAGCAUCUUUGUCAACAUACAGGAUUUGGCCAGCGUUCAUCGAGAAUUUUUGGACGAGAUCCAGAGCUCGGUGGGGAACGGAGCCAAGAAUUUUCACCAUGUGUUUGUCAACUACAAGCAGAGGCUUCUGCUCUACGGCCGCUACUGCAGUCAAGUGGAAACGGCGACCAAGCAUCUGGACAAGCUGGCCAGUACGAGGGAGGACGUCAGGAUGAAGCUGGAGGAGUGUUCCAAGAGAGCAAACAGCGGCAGAUUCUCUCUCAGGGAUCUGCUUAUGGUGCCCAUGCAGAGGGUCCUUAAAUACCCCCUGCUAUUACAGGAGCUGGUGAAACACACCACCGACCCGUCAGACAAGGAAAACCUGCGCACGGCUCUCGAUGCCAUGCGAGACCUGGCACAGUGUGUCAACGAGGUGAAGCGAGACAACGAGAUUCUCAGGCAGAUCACCAGCUUCCAGUUGUCUAUCGAGAACAUGUCACAGUCCUUGGCCCUCUUUGGCCGGCCCAAAAUGGACGGAGAGCUGAAGAUCAGCAGCACAGAAAAGAAGUCCAAACAGGAAAGAUACGCUUUCCUCUUUGACAAGGCCUUGUUUGUGUGCAAGAAGAAGAGCAGCGAGACUUUCGAGUUGAAGGAGAUCAUCGAGCUCCAGCACUACCAAGUCCGAGACGAGACAGCGGGGGGGAAGGACAAAAGGAAGUGGUCCUACCUGUUCCUCCUCCUGGACUCCUACGGGAAGUGCGGCUACGACUUAUACUUCAAAACACGAGAACUAAAGAAGAAAUGGCUAGAACAGUUUGCGAUGGCUCAGUCCAACCUGUGCCCCGAGAACGCAGCGGCGAACAACCACGAUUUCCAGAUGCACAACUUUGAGGAGACGGCGUGUUGCAAGGCGUGCUCCAUGAUGCUGAGAGGGAUUUUCUUCCAGGGCUACCGCUGCACGCGCUGCAAAAUAGCCGCCCACAAAGAGUGCUUGGGCAUAUUGCCGACUUGCGGACGCAGCUCAGACCACCCAGGCACCGCAAGAAAGAAUAGGACACAAAGGUCCUCAGGGAAUACCGGCAUUGGGUUUCCCAUGGUGGAGGCGUGCCAGGAGUACUUCGGCCUGCCGCCGCCGCCCGCCAGCUUUGGGCAUCCGCUGUACCUCUCUAAGGGCGACGUAGUGGAACUGACGCGGGUGGAGGUGGACUUAUCGUGGUGGGAAGGCAGAAACUUGACUGGAGGACAGGUGGGCUGGUUCCCCUGCAGCAGAGUUAUACCCUUCUCACGUAGGCCCACCCCGGACCUGUCUGCUUUCAGCUGGUUUGCGGGGAACAUGGACCGACCCGCCGCCAAGAACCUGCUCAUGUCCCGCUCUGAAGGAACCUACCUGGUCCGGCAGAAGGACGGCGGAGAAUUUGCCAUCAGCAUUAAGUUCAGCAUGGACAUCAAACAUAUUAAAAUCACCUCCUAUGAUGGCCUAUUCCGCAUCAAUGAGAAGAAGGCCUUCAAGGGUUUGGUGAUGAUGUGGUUCUGUUGGCUUCAUCGAGCCAUGAUCUACACCUCUCACUGGAGCAGUUGGGAUGAGAAUCAGCACCUCCAAAUCUGUGACCAUGGUCCUCAGUCGGAAAAGGGUGGCGUGCCCUCUCCAGGUUGGGGAUGAGAUCCUGCCCCAAGUGGAGGAGCUCAAGUAUCUUGGGGUCUUGUUCACGAGUGAAAGAAGAAUGGAACGGGAGACCGACAGGCGGAUCGGUGCAGCGUCUGCAGUGAUGCAGACUUUGUAUCGGUCCAUUGUGGUGAAGAAGGAGCUAAGCCGAAAAACGAAGCUCUCAAUUUACCGUUCCUCCCCUCACCUAUGGUCACGGGCUGUGGGUCGUGACCGAAAGAACAAGAUCCCGGAUGCAAACGGCCGAAAUGAGUUUCCUCCCCAGGGUGUCCGGGCUCUCCCUUAGAGAGAGGGUGAGAAGCUCGGUCAUCCGGGAGGAUCUACAGUCCCUGCUCCUCCACAUCGAGAGGAGCCAGAUGAGGUGGCUGGGGCAUCUGAUUCGGACGCCUCCCUGGUGAGGCCAUGUCCCACCGGGAGGAGACCCCGGCGACGACCCAGGACACGCUGGAGAGACUCCGUCCUUCGGAUGGCCUGGGAACGCCUCAGAAUCCCCCCGGAAGAGCUUGAUGAAGUGGCUGGGCGUCCCUGCUAAAGCUAGUGCCCCCGCGACCCGACCUCGGAUAAGCGGAGAUGAUUGAGUUCUAUCAGCAGAACUCCCUGAAGGAGUGUGUCAAGGACGUGGACACCACACUGCACAUGCCGUACAAGCAAGCUGAGCAGAGCAACGACCACAGGCCCCGUGCCGUGCCCAAAG